rnacentral:rRNA from 1 species
AUACGUAGGGUGCAAGCGUUAAUCGGAAUUACUGGGCGUAAAGCGUGCGCAGGCGGUUUUGUAAGACAGUGGUGAAAUCCCCGGGCUCAACCUGGGAACUGCCAUUGUGACUGCAAGGCUGGAGUGCGGCAGAGGGGGAUGGAAUUCCGCGUGUAGCAGUGAAAUGCGUAGAUAUGCGGAGGAACACCGAUGGCGAAGGCAAUCCCCUGGGCCUGCACUGACGCUCAUGCACGAAAGCGUGGGGAGCAAACAGGAUUAGAUACCCUGGUAGUCCACGCCCUAAACGAUGUCAACUGGUUGUUGGGGAUUUAUUUUCUCAGUAACGAAGCUAACGCGUGAAGUUGACCGCCUGGGGAGUACGGCCGCAAGGUUAAAACUCAGAUGAAUUGACGGGG